GACUUGUGUUGCUCAUAUUCCAAAAGAAAAAGAAAACAGAAAAAUUCUCGAAGGGAAUUAAGAGCAGAAAGGCAUUUGUCCCCCAAGCAACGAUCAAAAUGAACGAGCAUCGGGGCGUUCCGACCGAGCUGCUCAUCCGAGGAGUAGAUUCUCGCGCAUUCGGCUGCGUAGACCUCUGCAAUCGCCACGGUCUCUGAAACCUGCGAGAAAUCAGGUUCCUUGUCUUAGUUUCGUUCCGUCGAAAGUUCUCCAGCUCUUGUUCACGAAAGGAUUCGUCCCUUUCUGUCUGAUGCAGCCGAGCUGUUUGAUGUAAUUCGUGAAAGACACCAAAGUCGGUUCUCGUGUUGGUCACGGUUGAAACCGGUGCAUCCAUGCUUGCGGUGGCGUUUGUUAGUAUUCGAAACAUCUGUAGCAUGCGGUUGAUGCCAAGUUUUGGCAUUUGGCUGAAUGGAGGUAAAUCCAAUACUGAGGCGGCGGCGGCCUCUUUAGCUGAACACAAUGCUAUUAAUGGGUUUAGCGAAACAGAGAGUAAGAUGCAGUUGGGAACGCAUCGAGACCUCUUCCGCCAAACGGGAAUAAUUGCUUGGUUGAGAAUUUCUGUUUCUGUUAUGGAUGUUGCAAUGAUGGGUGCAUGUAAAAAGACUUCUAUGAUAGCUCAGGUUGGCCACAGUCAACAUACACUGUGGUUUUUCAUGUUAGAGUUUUCUGGAAACAAUUUCUUGAUGAGUCACUUUGUUCCCGGUGACGUAGGGCUGAAAAAAGCUAGUAAAUUUGUUUUCUCCUAAAUCACUUGAAGCACGAAUGUCUUUCUUUGCUUGAAGGAAAUGGGAAUUGGUUCAAAAGCAGCACAAUAUGCUUCCGGAUUUUUGCUUAGAUGGAGUCAUCAAUGAUUACUUCGGGCACUGAGCAUUGUCUGGAACACAUAUAAGGAGUAAGUAAUGUUACCAUUCUAUUUGCUAAUUGAAGAUCUUCGCUCCUACUGAUAGCUUGCUGUUUCAAUUGUCACUAUAUUAGAGACCUUCAGUUGUAAUAUCGAUCUUGCUCCACUGUGCGGUGACCGGUUCAAUACAUGGGCAACUACCGAUUACGAACUUGUGUAACUUUACUGCAUUGAUGAUUGAUGAUUUUCAUAGGAUCCAAUAUUCUUGAAGAGCUCAACUAUCUUUCUCCACAUGAAUUUGUACAAUGCUUGCUCUUUUCUUGUUUUUUGAGAGAAGGUAAAUCACAGGCGUUCAGACAGUGUUUAUCAAAAACAAACAAAGCUAUGAUAUACAGGUAAAGCAUAGACAGGGAACUUUUUUUGUGAUUUAUAAACUGAUCAUGCUUACCUCUUGUGGGAAUUUUCUGUGAAUUGGGAGGAAUAAAAUUACCUCUCAUUAAGAUUUGUUCAAUUGUUCAAUUAUAGUGAGAGGAAUAAAUGUUAUCUAAUUACUCCAAAGCUCAAAACCUUCCCAAAAUCCAACUCACAAAUCAAGGCCCAUACACUUAAGGUGGAUUAAUCCACGCAAGAUUGCAGGACAAUCCUGAAGAGAUGACCCUCUUUGGAAGUUAUAUGUGUACAAAAAGCCCACAGAUCAUCUUUGUUAUCUAAUUUUCUUAAUUAAUUGUGGAUAAAGAAGGUGGAAACAGAAAAAGCAAAGUCAGAUAUAUUGUGCCAUAAGGUAGCAAUCAUUAUUUCGUUCCUUUUUUUCAAUUAUUAUCUGUGUUUCUUCAGUUUUGAUGAUCUCUAAAUUCCUGAGGAUGUGCUUUCGUAGUAUUUUGCUGUGUGAGCAACCUGAUUGAUGGUUGAUUACGUGGCAGAUUCCUGUAGUUUAAAGACUCACAAAACCAUUUCUCUGGCCACUAAAUUUAUCUAGCACCUAUAAAAAUACAAGUUGCAGAUACUGACUUUAAAUUUACGUGCAUGUUAUUCCCGUAUUUAAUAUGAUGAAUGUUCUGAAUGUGAAUGGAUGGUUUAAAGUCUAUGGCAUAAGGUGAUUAUGCCUCUUGAAAUUCUAUGGCAUAAGUUGAUUAUGCCUCUUGAAAUUUUAGGCUGUGGAGUAGUGCUAAGUCAGUACUAUUUAAUGAUGACAGGGCAAUUGAGAUGCGUUCCAGUGACAUAGCUGCUGCAGCCCAAUUGCAGCUUACCAAAAAGAUGCACACACAUGAUUUGCUCUCUAAACACGUCAGUGCAAAACCUGAGAAGUCCUGGCACUCACAAAAUUUGAUUGGAUUCGGUGCCGUUUUGGUUGCAUCAUAGCAAUUAUUUACUUUUAGAAUGUUUAGUCCAAAAUCUAGUCAAGUAUUUGAUUUUUCAUAUUCAAGUUAGGUCAUGAUUGAUUGUGACAAGAGAUUGUGAAUUGUUGGACAGAAAAUCCAGAGUGCCGAUCCUUUUCUUUAUAGGCUGUAGAACACCUUUUGUGGUUUUCUACGUCUUUUGAUUCCUGUGUAACAUCUUUUCCAGCAGGAUACACCAUUUAGCACUCACAGCGGUUGGUAUUGUGAUGCAUUCAUGAGUCAUAAUUCUUAUCUUCGACUCUUUAACGUAAACACCACCAGAAGCAGCCAGGGGACAUAAUUUGUCUUAUAUGACUGCUUUUGCAUAUUUCUAUAAUGUCCUUCUCAUCUUGGUUAUGAAAGCCAUCCAUCUUUUGACAUUAGGGGUGAGCCAUGGCAUUGUUUCUAGGACAAUUUUUACUGGUGGUCACUAAACCUUGAUGGAUUUUGCAAUUAGAUCACUUAAUUUCUUGGCAAUUGACGCACUUAUCGAUUUUCCAACCAAGUGUCCAGCAAAAACUGACAUGGCCUGUUAUGUGGCAAUUUUUACUGCUUUGGCUGACAGCUGACGCAUAACGUUGACGUGGUUCCAUGUAGACGGCGUGAAAAUUGUGAAAAGAGAAAAAAACAAACUGCAACCCUCUGCUUUGUGGUGGCUGAUACACCAAGUCAUCUCCAUUGAGACAUAGUGGAUGCCACAGUUACCACAGUUACCAUGGUCAAAGUGCAUCAGUUCAAUUACAAAAAGUUAAAUGUUUAGUGCUUUGGGUUGUUGAAAUCAAAGGUCAGUGACCAAAUUGCAAAAUACACCAAAUUCUGGGAAUCACUGGUGGGAAAUCUGUUCUGCUAUGUAUUUGGCUGAUCUUGCAGUCUGAUGGUUGCACUUCUUACUGUAGACUUAGGUUUGCCAAUCCAGACAGAUUUCGAGUAGAUUAACUCUAACCUGGACUAACACCCAUCAGGUUUAUUCAGUCCUAUUCUUUUCCAUAAAUGCAUUUUUUGCCCCAGUCUUGUGUUGAUGCUGGUGCUGUGCUUUUUGGUUCUUGUAAUGUGCUUUCUUCAAGUCAUUGGCUCCAAGUUUGUUUAUGAUUCUGAAGAGAUCACACUUGAGGGUGGAUUUUUGAACCCUUGUUUUCUUCACGAUAAGAACUAUGUUUUGUUUGAAUAUACUUUAGCUUACAAGAAAGCUCCUCAUCUUUUUCAACUACUAACUUCCAGAAAGUGGGAUGGUCUUGUGCAUAGAUGGAGACACUUGGGUUCUCUGUGGGAGGCAAUGUGAGGGCAGCUUAAGAGAACUUCUGUACUAUCUAUACAAGGAAUGUGAUCCAUAAAUUAUGCUGUUACUUGUUACUCUCUCAUUAAGAUUUGUUCAAUUGUUCAAUUAUAGUAAGAGGAAUAAAUGUUACCUAAUUACUCCAAACCCCUAAACCUUCCCAAAAUCCAACUCACAAAUCAAGGUCCAUACACUUAAGGUGGAUUAAUCCAUGCAAGAUUGCAGGGCAAUCCUGGAGAGAUGACUUUCUUUGGAAGCUAUAUACAUAUGAAAAGCCCAUAGAUCAUCUUUUUUAUCUAAUUUCCUUGAUUGAUUGUGGAUGGAGAAGGUGGAAACAGAAAAGGCAAAGUCAGAUAUAUUGUGCCAUAAGGUAACAAUCGUUAUUUCGUUGUGUUUUUUCAAUUAUUAUUUGUGUUUCUUCAGUUUUGAUGAUUUCUAAAUUCCUGAGGAUGUGCUUUUGUAGUAUUUUGCUGCGUAAGCAACCUGAUUGAUGGUUGAUUUGUGCGGAAGAUUUCUGUGGUUUAAUGAUUAAUAAUACUAUUUCUCUGGCUGCCAAAUUUAUCUAGCGCCUAUAAAAAUACAAGUUGCAGAUGCUGACUUUAAAUUUACGUGCACGUUAUUCCUGUAUUUGAUAUGAUGAAUAUUCUGAAUGUGAAUGGGAUGGGUUAAAGUCUAUGGUAUAAGGUGAUUAUGCCUCUUGAAAUUUUAGGUGGUAGCAUAGUGCUAAUACCUAAUGAUGACGGGGCGACUGAGAUGCUUUCCAGUGACUUAGCUGUUACGGCCCAAUUGGAGCUUCCCACAUUUCUCUAUAUGAAAAAGAUGCACACACAUGAUUUGCUCUCUAAACACGUCAGUGUAAAACCUGAGAAGUCCUGGCACUCACAAAAUUUGGUUGGAUUCGGUGCUGUUUCGGUUACAUCAUAGCAAUUAUUUACUUUUAGAAUCCAAAAGCUAGUCAAGUAUUCGAUUUUUCAUAUUCAAGUUAGGUAAUGAUUGAUUGUGAAUUAUUGGACAGAAAAUCCAGAGUGCCGAUCCCUUUCUUUAUAGGCUGUAGAACGCCUUUUGUGGUUUUCUACGUCUUUUGAUUCCCGUGUAACAUCUUUUCCAGCAUGAUACACCUUUUAGCUCUUACAACUGUCGGUAUUGUGAUGCAUUCAUGAGUUGUAAUUCUUAUCUUCGACUCUUAACGUAAACACGACCAUUUAGGAUGGAAGCAGCUAGGGGACAUAAUUUGCUGUAUAUGACUACUUUUGCAUAUAUCUGUAAUGUCCUUCUCAUCUUGGUUAUGAAAGGCAUGUAUCUUUUGACUUUAGGGGUGAGCUGUGCCAUCGUUUCUAGGAUAAUUUUCACCGAUGAUCACUAAAAUUUAAUUAAUUUUGCUAUCGGAUUACUUAAUUUCUUUUCAAUUGAUGCUUUUUGUCCAUUUUCCAACCAAAUGCCCAACGAAAAACUAAUGUGGCCUGUUAUGUGGCAAUUUUACUGCUUUGGCUGACACUUGACACAUGACGUUGAGGGGGUGCCCUGUAGAUGGCAUGAAAAUUUUGAAAAGGAGAAAAAACAAACUGCGACCCUCUGUUUCUACUCCUCUCUUUCUUAAUAUCUCCAUAUUUAUUUUCUUCCUUAAGUUGGGGCUGAUGUGGUGGCUGAUACACCGUCAUCUCCAUUGAGACAUAGUGGAUGCCACCUUUACCACUGUUACAAUGGUCAAAGUGCAUCAGUUCAAUUACAAAAAGUUCAAAAAGUUUAGUGUUUUGGGUUGUUGAAAUCAAAGUUCAGUAACCCAAAUUGCAAAAUACACCAAAUUCCGUGAAUCCUUGGUGGGAAAUCUGUUCUGCUAUGUAUUCUGAUGGUUGCACUUCUUACUGUAAAUUUAUUAGGUUAGCCAAUCCAGACAGAUUUUAUGUAGAUUAACUCUAAUCUGGCUAACACAUGUCAGGUUUAUGCAGUCCAAUUCUUUCCAUGAAUGCAUUUUUUACCCCAGUUUUGUGUUGAUGCUGGUGCUAUGCUCUUUUGUUUCUGUAAUGCGCUUUCUUCAACUCAUUGGCUCUGAGUUUUUAAGGUUCUUGUUAAUAAUUCGGAAGAGGUCACACUUUAAAGUGGAUUUUUGAACCAUGGUUUUCUUCAUGAUAAGAACUAUGAUUUGUUUGCGUAUACUUUAGCUUACAAGAAAGCUUCUUGUCUCUUUCAACUACUAACUUCCAGAAAGUAGUAUGGUCUUAUGCAUAGAUGGAGACACUUGGGUUAUAUGUAGGAAGCAAUGUGAGGGCAGCUUAAGAGAACUUCUGUACUGUCUAUACAAGGAAUGUGAUCCAUAAAUUAUGUUGUCUUGUUACUCUUUUCUAAUGAAGGUGACACGAGCUGUGGAAAUUGUGAUCAAUUUGAAACAUUUGUUGUGAUUGUUAACUAAAUGACCUAAGGUAGAUGGUGCAAUUCAUCUUUCUCAUGUUCCAAGUUGAGCAUUUGGCUUUUUGAUAGGGACAUAUAAUUUAGAUUGCUGCGAAUGGCUUUUAGUGGUCAUAAAAGGACACUUCAAUGGAAACGAAAAGAUUUCCCUAAGAACUUUGCUAAAUUUGUGAAUACAUCAUGUAUUUGAAGUAUGCAUUACCAAAAACAGGAUACUGAAUGACUGAACAUGACCCAUUCUUUCAAGUGUGUGGCAAUAUUGGGUACCACUUUUGACUUAAACAGGCAGAGUUCUGUAUUCCCUCGCAGGGGCAGUAUGUUAAAUACCUCUGCAAAUUCUGAAAGAUCCAGCAAUUUUCAUUAAAUAAGUAUUCUGAAGAACAUACUUGUGGAAAUUGGAUUUACAUUGUAAUUGAGUGAUCAGAUUAAUUAGUCCGUGUUGGUAAAUAUAUGAUAUUUUAAGUCAAUGAUAGCUGCAGUAGAUAAUAAAAAAGAGAAUUGAUUCCUCGGCUGUGUGACUAAGACAUUUGGUUUGCUUUUCUUUUCCGCAUGGUAUCAUGGCUUUAGGUCAAAGCUAAGAAUUAUCUUCUGAUAAUGGAUACUUCAAGUUUGUUUUAGGUGUGAUUUUGAUGUACAAGAGAUAAGCUAAAAAGGAUGGGAAUUGGAGGCCGAAAGUGAUUGAGCGGUCGGUUCACCGACGUCUUAUUAGCUCAGAAUUUUUUUUUACUGCUCAAUGAAAUCUAUUAAAUUUUUAAUUUGCUUGGGAUUGAAGGUCUGCGGAAUGUAUGAUCUUCAGGGGCCUGCACUUACUUGGAUUACACUUUGGAUAUGUUCAACUCAAGACAAUUUUUAUUGUUUCUUGUGCCUUUCAUGUUUGUAAUUGUCAAAUUCUCUGGAAAACCGAGUGGUGAACAAAUGCUUGCGGUGUGAAGGGAGAAAUUUGAGUGCCUAUCAAUUGCUUAGAUCAUUUGGAUUAUUACACUUUUCAGUUCUGAGAAAGCUACAGUUCAUCUUGCAAGCAUUUUCUAUUGGUAAGAUUAUGCCCCAUGACAAUGGAUUACCAACUAAAUUUGUGCCUCCAUGGUCAUCCCAACAAUUUCCGAUGCAUUUGACCAUACAAUUUUGUCUCUCUGAGAGGAAAUUUUAGCUUGGCAGUCCAUAUUUGGAGCAACAGCUUAUGGAAGAUUAGUAAGCAUGAAUUUGGAAAUGUCUGUCUCGUCCUUCUAGAGUCAUCACGACAAUGGGUUGAACAACCUCACCGGUUGCUUUGAGAAUGAGCAAGAAUGUCCUAAGAUGUAUGCGAAUUCUCAUUUUUUUUUAUUAUUUCAAUAUGCUCUUGUAGGGUUUCAGCUUUUAACUUAUUCAUACAAGCCAAGAAGGGAAACUUGGGAGACAAGAUACUCGGUAAAAAUUGUUCUUACUAUACGUCUCUCCUUAUGUGUGCGUGUUUGGACUUUAGAGCAACCAUUUUCCUUGGAAUCAGGAAGGUGAACCUCUUACAGGAAUAUACCAGGUUUUCCAUACCAGUGCAUGUUGGGUUUGUUGCCCUGAGAGACUGAUGAUGAAGAUGGAAAGAUAUACUUGACAUGACGGUAGAAGAUUCUCUGCUGGUGAAACAUUAUCUCUGUGUUCCAGUUCAUCACCAAGUAAGAUAUUGGCUAUCUUAUGUGGCUCCACCAGUGUCAACUUAGAUAAUUUUUAAUAAUUUUUAAUAUAUUUUUGAAUUUUUUUA